rnacentral:SRP_RNA from 1 species
GCCAGGUGUGGUGGUGCACACCUGUAGUCCCAGCUAUUCGGGAGGCUGAGAUGGGAGGAUCACUUGAGCCCAGGAAGUUGAGGCUGCAGUGAGCUGAGAUCACACUAUUGCACUCCAGCCUGGGUGACAAAGUGAGACCCUAUCUCAA